GAUGAACGCUGACAGAAUGCUUAACACAUGCAAGUCCACUUGAACUUCGGUUUGGGUGGCGGACGGGUGAGUAACGCGUAAAGAACUUGCCUCACAGAUAGGGACAACAUUUGGAAACGAAUGCUAAUACCUGAUAUUAUGAUUUUAGGGCAUCCUAGGAUUAUGAAAGCUAUAUGCGCUGUGAGAGAGCUUUGCGUCCCAUUAGCUAGUUGGAGAGGUAACGGCUCACCAAGGCGAUGAUGGGUAGCCGGCCUGAGAGGGUGAUCGGCCACAAGGGGACGGAGACACGGCCCUACCUCCAGGGGGAGGCAGCGGUGGGGAUAGUAGAAAAAGGGACAAAGGGUUUAAUCAAGAAUUCCGGGGGGCAGAAAGAAGUUUUGGGAAAGGAAAGGUGUUUUAAGUGGAAAAAAAAAAAAUGACGGUACAAAAAGAAGAAGGGCGGGCAAAUUACGUC
rnacentral:rRNA from 1 species